UCCCACCACCGAUGAAUGGGUUAUUGUGUAUUCCUCAAUCCUCAUCUCUGACUAGACUUCCUCUAUCGUUUCUCUCUCGCCAAUUGGAAUCUUUAUAGGUUUUCUCGGCAAUGGAAAUUGGGUCUUGCUCUGACGCUCGUCUUAUCGACGAUUCACAAGAAAGAUGGGGUUAGAAGAAUCUGUAGAGGCUUACCUGUGUCUCUACAUGGUGUGAUUAUUCACCGUGGCUUAUACUUUGGAGGGCUCAAGCUGUGACUUCAUCUGCUGGAUUGGCUUCUUACCCAUUGGCCAUUGUGAAAGACAUGGAUUGGUCUAAGCCCAAAUAUUGGCACUGCAUUCGUUUUUGAUAUUUUCUUGUCAAUGCUUUCUUCUCCCCAUAUGGAUAAAGCUGCGAGGUAAGCUAGAAGUGAUAUUUUCUUGUCAAUCGCUUUAUUAUGGAUAAAGAUUACAAAGGUUCGAACUUUGAGAUACUCUUGUUGCUGCAACCUUUCUCAUAACAGAUAAUGUGGAUUUUAUUACUUGGUUGCUGCAACCUUUCUGUUGUUCUUGUUGGACUCUUAUAGACUCUGUUUUCUCAUCUUCUUCUCCUCGUGCUUCUUUUCUUCUCUUCAUCAUCUUCUCACUAACUCUUUUCUCUUUGUUGCAGGUUAAUCUCAACACUAACCUCAGUCUGUUUUUAUACUGCAAUUUGCUCAUAUGUUCAAUACUAAAAGACGUCACAAAGAGCAUGCAACUACGGCAUGUAAGAGUUGAGAUUAACCUGAUGAUUCAUUUUGUUUCUUACAGAUUGAAUCAUCUAUCCCCCCUUCUGGUCAGAUAGGAGUUGCAUCGGUUCAAGGGGAGGUUGGGGACAUCAUUCCGAUGAAAACUAUGAAAAUGGCUUGGGAACCGUACAUCCCACUUGAAAAAAGGAAUAGACAAGUUGAUAGAAUGAACUUUCAAAUUAACAUCUUGGGGUGUACUUAGAGAAGGUCUGCUCUCAAACAUUUGAAGGAUGAUCGUGUUAAAAAGUUCAACUAUUGCCUUUUUUACAUCAACAACCCGUAUAAGGUAGAUGAAUAUGAGCAAAGCACUGUGGUUCAAAUGAUGUUCCCUUCUGAGCCACCAGUAAGUUAUUUUACUCUGUCUCUGUUGCUUCUUCUGACCUAUCUCAAGAGCAUGCAACUACGGCAUUGAUGAUGAAUGAUGGCAAAGUUGAGGAAUCUGUUCAUUGGUAUUUUGACAAGGGCGAAGAAGAAAUUCAGAAGCAAAGCAUUUGCAAUAGACAUUACAGAUGAACUAGCUAGGAUUACACAAAUGGAGCUACAACUUAAGUGUACAAGGCAGGAAAUUGAGCGUGCAGUUGUUCAAGCUGUCGAGAGUAAACGAGAUGUCUGAGAUCACACUUUAUACAAUAGGAUAAGAGAGUCUUUGAUCUGUUAUUAACAUAAACUUUAUAAAAAGUA